rnacentral:misc_RNA from 1 species
GCGAUAUAUAAAAGUGGACAUUGGGAAUAAUUUAAUGAGUUGGCUUAGAAAUCAAGAGAAGUCAUGUGCGGUUUUAAUGUUUCUUAAAUUCUGACAGACCAUCCAAAGAAGAGAACAUGCACAGUAAAAACAACAGUACUUAAAAACCUAAUAUCUUUCAAUCUCAAUGUCCCAAAAUAAAAUAAUUAAUUAUCUAAUUGGGGAGUUGUUGAGUGGACAAAUUAACAAUCUAAUCAAAGAGGGCCUGAUCUAAUUGAUUAAGAAGUUAAUCAUUCUCUAAUGUAUGUUUAGGUAUUAUUAAUAUAUUUACCAGGAUCUCUAGCUGCUAAAAAUAUAUAGUAAUGCAAGCAAGCAAGCAUCAGAUAAACUAAUCAAAGAUCUACAAAAG